rnacentral:lncRNA from 1 species
UACACCCCAUUAUCCCACAUUUUUCUCAUGCACAUACACACGUCCUCAGCUACACAAACACACACCACAACAACAAUUCAACUCCCACACGUCAUUAUAUAAUAUACACACACCAACACACUUAAGAGAUAGAGAAGAAGACACAAAGACAAAAGAUUAAAAAGAGAAAAAGAAAGAAAAGGUGAAAAAACUUAGAGAAAUUAAGGAAAAGAAAAC